GACGAACGCUGGCGGCGUGCCUAAUACAUGCAAGUUGAGCGCUGAAGGUUGGUACUUGUACCGACUGGAUGAGCAGCGCACGGGUGAGUAACGCGUGGGGAAUCUGCCUUUGAGCGGGGGACAACAUUUGGAAACGAAUGCUAAUACCGCAUAAAAACUUUAAACACAAGUUUUAAGUUUGAAAGAUGCAAUUGCAUCACUCAAAGAUGAUCCCGCGUUGUAUUAGCUAGUUGGUGAGGUAAAGGCUCACCAAGGCGAUGCUACAUAGCCGACCUGAGAGGGUGAGCGGCCACAUUGGGACGGAGACACGGCCCAAACGCCCACGGGAGGCAGCAGUAGGGAAUCGUCGGCAAUGGACGAAAGUCUGACCGAGCAACGCCGCGUGAGUGAAGAAGGUUUUCGGAUCGGAAAACUCUGUUGGUAGAGAAGAACGUUGGUGAGAGUGGAAAGCUCAUCAAGUGACGGUAACUACCCAGAAAGGGACGGCUAACUACGUG
rnacentral:rRNA from 1 species